AAGUCGUAACAAGGUUUCCGUAGGUGAACCUGCGGAAGGAUCAUUAAUGAGUUAGGGUCUUCUAGGCCCGAUCUCCAACCCUUUGUAUAAUUACCAUGUUGCUUUGGCGGGCCCGUCUUUAAUCGGACCGCCGGGGUUUGUUAACCUCUGGCCAGCGCCUGUCAGUAGCCCACACAAAACUCUUCUAACCAUGUUAAAUCUGAAAAUAGUUAAAUAAACCAAAA
rnacentral:misc_RNA from 1 species